GAUGGAAGGCCUGUAUGACAAUAACUGGGGACAUGGGCUGGAAACCCUGUGAGGUGAGAUGGAAGGCCUGUAUGACAAUAACUGGGGACAUGGGCUGGAAACCCUGUGAGGUGAGAUGGAAGGCCUGUAUGACAAUAACAGGGGACAUGGGCUGGAAACCCUGUGAGGUGAGAUGGAAGGCCUGUAUGACAAUAACAGGGGACAUGGGCUGGAAACCCUGUGAGGUGAGAUGGAAGGCCUGUAUGACAAUAACAGGGGACAUGGGCUGGAAACCCUGUGAGGUGAGAUGGAAGGCCUGUAUGACAAUAACAGGGGACAUGGGCUGGAAACCCUGUGAGGUGAGAUGGAAGGCCUGUAUGACAAUAACAGGGGACAUGGGCUGGAAACCCUGUGAGGUGAGAUGGAAGGCCUGUAUGACAAUAACUGGGGACAUGGGCUGGAAACCCUGUGAGGUGAGAUGGAAGGCCUGUAUGACAAUAACUGGGGACAUGGGCUGGAAACCCUGUGAGGUGAGAUGGAAGGCCUGUAUGACAAUAACUGGGGACAUGGGCUGGAAACCCUGUGAGGUGAGAUGGAAGGCCUGUAUGACAAUAACAGGGGACAUGGGCUGGAAACCCUGUGAGGUGAGAUGGAAGGCCUGUAUGACAAUAACUGGGGACAUGGGCUGGAAACCCUGUGAGGUGAGAUGGAAGGCGUGUAUG